rnacentral:rRNA from 1 species
UGUCUUGUAAUUGGAAUGAUGGGAAUUUAAACCCCUUCCAGAGUAUCAAUUGGAGGGCAAGUCUGGUGCCAGCAGCCGCGGUAAUUCCAGCUCCAAUAGCGUAUAUUAAACUUGUUGCAGUUAAAAAGCUCGUAGUUGAAUUUCUGCUGCAUCGUGGUUCUUCGCUAUGUCGAGUGAUCUUCGUUGUGGCUUAAUUGGGGCAUGUUUUCAUGACUCGACGUUUACUUUGAGAAAAUUAGAGUGCUUCAAGCAGGCUUUUGCCUUGAAUACUUUAGCAUGGAAUAAUGGAGUAGGACUUUGGUUCUAUUUUGUUGGUUUUAGAGCCGGAGUAAUGGUUAAUAGGAACAGUUGGGGGCAUUCGUAUUUGACUGUCAAGGUGAAAUUCUUAAUUUGUCAAAGACGAACUACUGCGAAAGCAUUUGCCAAGGAUGUUUCCAUUAAUCAAGAACGAAAGUUAGGGGAUCGAAAAGAUCAAUACCGUCGUAUUCCUAACCAUAAACUA